rnacentral:rRNA from 1 species
UACGUAGGUGGCAAGCGUUGUCCGGAUUUACUGGGCGUAAAGGGAGCGUAGGCGGACUUUUAAGUGAGAUGUGAAAUACCCGGGCUCAACUUGGGUGCUGCAUUUCAAACUGGAAGUCUAGAGUGCAGGAGAGGAGAAUGGAAUUCCUAGUGUAGCGGUGAAAUGCGUAGAGAUUAGGAAGAACACCAGUGGCGAAGGCGAUUCUCUGGACUGUAACUGACGCUGAGGCUCGAAAGCGUGGGGAGCAAACAGGAUUAGAUACCCGU